GUGGGCGUAGCUCAGUGGUAGAGCACUGGAUUGUGGCUCCAGACGUCGCGGGUUCAAUUCCCGUCGUCCACCCCA
rnacentral:tRNA from 1 species